ensembl:lncRNA
GAGACUUUAGUAAUUUUCAUUCCAAAAAAUGCCUGGUGUGAUGCUUUACAAUCCAUAAAGUAAGGUUUAAAGGCACAACGUCAUGGACCCUGUCAUAGCAGUUGACUGGGCAUUGAAAUAUCUUCCUAGGAUUUUUAAAAAUUACAAUAGAAAAAUAAGCUGUUGUAACACGUAAGGUCAUGACAAUGUAUGUGUUUAUAUUUGAAAUCAGAUUUCUAUGAACUUGUACUUGAGCACAGGAUUCUCAGUGGGUUUAUACACUGCGACGUUUACAUUCAAGAUUGAGAUGUGAAUUAUGCUUAAUAGUAAAAGCUGAAGUGAGACCAUUUACUUUGUCUAAAAUGCUGCACUGUGCAUGUUUGGAAAUGUAAAUUAAUUUGCUAUAUAUAAUAUCUUCAGUUUGUUUAUACCUCUAAGUUUUGACACUGAAGAUAAAUGAGCUUUAAACACAUUCAAAGCGUUUUUCUUAGGGAAAUCAGCUGCUGGGCUAAAUCUGUAUAAAGGUGCUUUUUAUUUUCUGGAGUUAUACCACCCCCAUUCUACAGACAAUGAGGCUCCCAGUGGGGUAGUGACGCGCCAAGGGUCACAGCAUUAAGUCACUGAAAGAGCUGAAUAUCCUGACUGCAAUCCUGGCUUCUGUUUGUACCCUAAGGUAUAAAGAGAGAGUUCCCGUUGUGGUGCACAGAAACAAAUCUGACUAGGAACCAUGAGGUUUUGGGUUUGAUCUCUGUCCUCGAUCAGUGGGUUAAUAAGGAUCUGGUGUUGCUGUGAGCUGUGGUGUAGGUCACAGAUGCGGCUUGGAUCCUACGUUGCUGUGGCUGUGGUGUAGGCCGGCAGCUGUAGCUCCAACUGAUUCGACCCCUAGACUGGGAAUCUCCAUAUGCUGCGGGUGUGGCCCUAAAAAAAAAAAGUUGGAUGAAGAUGCUUGAUCACUGCCAUGUGAUGGGAAGAUCCCUGUCCUAGUCCCGUUCUAUCCCAACUCCUUGUAUGUCCUGAAGAGAGUCCUGUCCUCCUUCAGCCCCUGUUCCUCCUGCUGGAAACAGAGAUGAUUUGCGAGGACCCCGAGUAUUAGCACUUGGAGGUGGGGAGGAGCUCGAGCUUCCCUUUGUACAAACACCUGCCUUUCACCGCUUGCCUGAGAAGGUCCCAUCUGCAACCAGACCUUAGGGUCUCCCAGCCCCUCCCACACCUAUGUCCACAAUCUCUAAGAGCACCCCAGAGAGCUCCCACGAGAGAUAAAAGUUCACUUCCCUGUGGGCAGCUGCCUGAUUGGCGGGGGGAGGGGAGGGUGUGCCCAUGGUGCCACCUGACUGCUCCACCUGCUGAGGAAGUGGCUCCGACAGCCCCUCAGCUCCGUGUGCAUCAUUUCCUCCUCUCACCAUCCAGGCCAGCCCAGCUACCACCUCCCGCUGUCCCUGGAGUCACCUGGAGUCACCUGAGCCCCCAUUCCUCCCAGACUCAGAAGUGGAGCCCAGCACCUUACCCCUCUUUCCGUUCAGGUCUGUCCCCUUGACAUCACUCCUCGGGCCACACACUUGGACUCCCUCCCUGAGCUGGGCUGCUCCUCUGAGAAACAGAGUCUGUUCAGCUUCAGGAUCUUUCUCCACGAUUCUCCAGCUCCUCGAUUCUCCAGCUCCUCCUUAGUUCCCUGCCUUUGGUGGUCAUCUCAACAGAGCAGGACCUUCCUCCACGAGGCCCAGGUUGGGUGGGAGGAGGACUGGGAGUAGAGACGCCCCAACCCCGAGUACAGUCCGUCUUUUUAGGCCUUUAUCCAACAAAGAUACUCAUCCUUGGGGUGCAAGGAAGGGCUCAGGCCCAGAGGCAGGAAGGAUGGGCUUUAGCCUUUGCUCACAGACUGCUGAGACCCGUGGCAAGCUCCUGCCCCUCUUGGGGCUCUCGGCUUUGCAAUCUGUAGAAUCCAGAAGAGGCUCCUCAAUCUGCAGUCACCCGAUUAUAAUAAUCUGUUGCCUUUAUAGGUUGCUCGGGAAUUUAGUUUCACUCCUGGAUUUCAUCUGAUCCUUCCAACAACCUGUUUCCACUUUCGACUAAGAAGGCUUAGGUCCUCAGGGGAACAAAACUACCCAAGCUCACACAGCAAGUCAAGGUAGAGAAGCCUG